rnacentral:misc_RNA from 1 species
GAUGAAGAACGUAGUGAAAUGCGAUAAGUAAUGUGAAUUGCAGAAUUCAGUGAAUCAUCGAAUCUUUGAACGCACAUUGCGCCCCCUGGUAUUCCGGGGGGCAUGCCUGUUCGAGCGUCAUUUCACUACUCAAGCCUCGCUUGGUAUUGGGCAACGCGGUCCGCCGCGUGCCUCAAAUCGACCGGCUGGGUCUUCUGUCCCCUAAGCGUUGUGGAAACUAUUCGCUAAAGGGUGUUCGGGAGGCUACGCCGUAAAACAACCCCAUUUCUAAGGUUGACCUCGGAUCAGGUAGGGAUACCCGCUGAACUUAAGCAUAUCAAUAAGCGGAGGA